rnacentral:rRNA from 1 species
ACGUAGGGUGCAGGCGUUAAUCGGAAUUACUGGGCGUAAAGCGUGCGCAGGCGGUUGUGCAAGACAGAUGUGAAAUCCCCGGGCUUAACCUGGGAACUGCAUUUGUGACUGCACGGCUGGAGUGCGGCAGAGGGGGAUGGAAUUCCGCGUGUAGCAGUGAAAUGCGUAGAUAUGCGGAGGAACACCGAUGGCGAAGGCAGGUCUCUGGGCCACUACUGACGCUGAGAAGCGAAAGCAUGGGGAGCGAACAGGA